AAGUGCUCACCCGUUUCCUCUGGGCUGGUGUUCAAGUGGAGCGAAGCAGCAAUGGAAAUAGAGACCUCCCUUACAAAGCAGUGGAGUGACAGCCCAUGUCAAGAGAGCCAGAGAACCGAUGAAGAGUGCGGCAUUUUUGACCCCGUCACAGAGCAUUCCCGCCUAGCCAAAUGCAACUCCUCCAGAGGAGCUGUCUGUCAGUGUAGGCGAGAGAAGCUGGGUGUUUUCAGUUUACCAAAGACACCCUUCUUCAGGAGGCUG